rnacentral:rRNA from 1 species
UAACGGGGGGCAGCAGUGAGGAAUAUUGCACAAUGGGGGGAACCCUGAUGCAGCAACGCCGCGUGGAGGAUGACGCAUUUCGGUGUGUAAACUCCUUUUAUAUGUCAAGAAAAUGACGGUAGCAUAUGAAUAAGCACCGGCUAACUCCGUGCCAGCAGCCGCGGUAAUACGGAGGGUGCAAGCGUUACUCGGAAUCACUGGGUGUAAAGGACGCGUAGGCGGGUUGGAAAGUCAGGUGUGAAAUCCUACAGCUUAACUGUAGAACUGCACUUGAAACUUCUAAUCUAGAGUAUGGGAGGGGGAGAUGGAAUUAGUGGUGUAGGGGUAAAAUCCGUAGAUAUCACUAGGAAUACCUAAAGCGAAGGCGAUCUCCUGGAACAUUACUGACGCUAAGGCGUGAAAGCGUGGGGAGCAAACAGGAUUAGAUACCCGAGUAGUC